GCGCAGCAGUCGCGAAACUUCACAAUGUGCGAAGGCACGAUGAGGGAAUCCCAAGUGCUUGCACGUAAGUGUAAGCUGUUUCUCUGUCUAAAACGCAGAGAGAGUAAGGGCUGGGUAAGACGGGUGCCAGCCGCCGCGGUAAUACCUGCAGCUCGAGUGGUGACCGUUAUUAUUGGGCCUAAAACGUCCGUAGCCGGUUUAAUAAAUGCCUGGGUAAAUCGGACCGCUUAACGGUUCGAAUUCCGGGUAGACUGUUAAACUUGAGACCGGGAGAAGUUAGAGGUACUCCUGGGGUAGAGGUGAAAUUCUGUAAUCCUAGGGGGACCACCAGUGGCGAAGGCGUCUAACUAGAACGGGUCUGACGGUGAGGGACGAAGCCCUGGGGCGCAAAACGGGGAUUAGAUACCCGUGUAGU
rnacentral:rRNA from 1 species